AAAUGGCUGCGCGGUUGGUGUGGUGAUAUUUCUCCGGGGCCUUACUUUUCUCGAGGGAGCUGACCCUGAUUAGAUCGUGGUCUAGUUUAUUUGGCGCCCACCUUACUUUAGGUAUCCCGAGAUCUUGAUCAACUCACGGCCAGCGCGGUACCAUA
rnacentral:other from 1 species